CCUACGGGUGACAGCAGUGAGGAAUAUUGGUCAAUGGGCGGGAGCCUGAACCAGCCAAGCCGCGUGAGGGAAGAAGGUACAGCGUAUCGUAAACCUCUUUUGUCAGGGAACAAAGGCGGGGACUAGUCCCCGGAUGAGGGUACCUGAAGAAAAAGCAUCGGCUAACUCCGUGCCAGCAGCCGCGGUAAUGCGGAGGAUGCGAGCGUUAUCCGGAUGUAUUGGGUUUCAAGGGUGCGCAGGCGGCCUGUUAAGUCAGCGGUAAAAGCCCGGGGCUCAACCCCGGCGAGCCGUUGAAACUGGCGGUCUGGAGUUGGAGAGAAGUACGCGGAAUGCGCGGUGUAGCGGUGAAAUGCUUAGAUAUCGCGCAGAACCCCGAUUGCGAAGGCAGCGUGCCGGCUCCACACUGACGCUGAGGCACGAAAGCGUGGGUAUCGAACAGGAUUAGAUACCCUGGUAGUC
rnacentral:rRNA from 1 species